rnacentral:tRNA from 1 species
AUCGCAAUGGCAGGCGGCGCUUGAUACCCCCCGCUUGCAGCGUUGGGCAGAGGAGAACAUUGCGGCGCAUCGGGCGGUUCUGGAUCUCCUUGUGGCGC